rnacentral:rRNA from 1 species
UACGUAGGGGGCUAGCGUUGUCCGGAAUCAUUGGGCGUAAAGCGCGUGUAGGCGGCCCGGUAAGUCCGCUGUGAAAGCCCGGGGCUCAACCCCGGGAUGCCGCCCAAGACUGGUCUCCUUGAGGACGGAAGAGGGGAGUGGAAUUCCUGGUGUAGCGGUGAAAUGCGUAGAGAUCAGGAGGAACACCCGUGGCGAAGGCGGCUCCCUGGUCCGUUUCUGACGCUGAGACGCGAAAGCGCGGGGAGCGAACGGG